rnacentral:lncRNA from 1 species
GGCAAUUCAGGAAAUGGUCAAAAAUAUUAAAUGAGUUCUUCAUGACUCACUCAGUCACAGUUGUCAGAGCCAGUCUUGGUGAUUUCUUUUAGCUGAUUGCAGCCACUCUCAUCUUCGAUGACUCUGCUUGGUGCAGAAUAUCACUUCUGCAUCUGCUCAUUUGUCCAAACAUUCCAUAAGGAUUAUCCAGCUCUGCGUCAACACUGCCUGGAGCAGGAGGACAGCGAGGUGAAGAGGGCCGAGCUCUCCUAUUCAGAUGGACCUUGUCAUUUUGUUUUAUUCCCCCUCCUUGAACCCUUCAUAAACAAUUCAAAGAAAUGUACAAACCCAUGUGACAAGCAGUGAAGCUCACCUGGCAGCCACUGCCUGUCUGGGGCCAAGACUCAAGUGUGGCUGAGCAGGACAGAGGGUUCCCAGUCAGGAGAUGUCAGCCAUAGGUUGAGCUGUAAGAUGCCCUGAGGUCUUAGGGACAGUGAGUGUCCCCUGAAGACCACAACAGCACCACGAGAUGCUAGGGAGAGCUGUGUCAAAUGCUGUUCCUAUGGACUCCAAGCCAAGAGGGUCUGCCAGAGGCUAAAUGAAUUGUUAUUUCUUAUGAAGAGAACAGGAAAAAGUAAACAGAAAAUAUUCAAAGCUAUGAGAAGGCUUUUCUGGAAUAAGGAAAUAUUUCACAAUGCAGAUUAACCCACAAGAAACACAUUCUGGAGAACACACAACAAGGCACAGCCCGUGAAAUUACUGUAUCUCAAGGAUGAAGAAUCAUGUUUAGGCACGGCAAAGAGAUGGCAGGGCACACACCUUCCUGAGGCACACCACGGUUAUCCAACCAAACCUACUUCCAGAUCUUACCUAAAGGGAAACUAGUCAAGGCCCGAAACACUGAAGAAAAGCAUCACUGUGCCAAAGUUUUAGAGUCUGAUGAGAUAAAACACUAUUUAGAGAAAUGUGUCACCACCUUCUUUUUUAACUAGUGGUGAAUGGAUAAACAAAAGGCAGUAUAGCCACACAAUGGAGUACUAUGCAGCAGUAAAAAGAAACAAACUACCAAUAAAUGCAGAAACAUGGAGGGAAAUUAUUGAGCUGAGUGACAAAAGCCAAACACAAAAUGCUUCAUACUGAAUGAUUCUUUUUGAAAUCUAGAUUCUUUAUGAACUUAUACAAAAUACAAACUAUUCUGUAGUGACCUCAGAUAGAUCACUAGUUGUGGGAGGCCACCGGCAGAGGCAGAGAGUUUUGCAAAGUAGCAUGGAAACCUCUCUGGGUGAUGGAAACAUCCUGUGCCUUGAUUGUAGCAGUGCUCAUGGUGUCACAGCACAGUGAAUGGACACUCUAAAUAAUGCAGCCUUUUGCUUGUAAACUAUACCUUGAUUAAGUUGAAGAUAAAUGGCUAAUUAGUACAUGAACAAAGCUUGAUGCCAUUAGACAAUAAAGAAAUGCAAAAACAAGAUAAAACCAUUUCAUGCCUGAAGUUUAUUGCAUAGAAAUUUAUCUUAAUUUUAAAGGUGCAGAUCUUUUAAAAAGAAUAUAAAUAAAAAAUUUUUAAACUAGAAACAAAGCACUCAAAUUCUACUUGCAAAUGUGUGAAAUUGUAUUACAGGUUAUUCAGUUAGCAUUGUAUGGAAAUACUUUAAGUGUCCUUCAGUAGGAAGCCAGGUAAAUAAAUUAGCUUCAACUUAAUGGAGGUAUAGUUACAUACAAUAAGCCAGAUCUAUUUAGAGUGUCCUACAUAGACAGAUAGAUAGAUAGAUAGAUAGAUAGAUAGAUAGAUAGAUAGAUAGAUGAUGGAUAGGUAGAGAGAGAAUGUGUGUGUGAGAGAGACAGAGAAAGAG